ACAAAAUCCUACAUCUAUUUUAUAUAAAAAUAUGUCUACCAGAUGAAAGAGUUUAGUGGGCAACACCUUCUUUUGCCUCAGAGGACUCCUGGAUAACACACCCCCACUGCCCAGGACUGCAGUGGGCUAAUAGAGCUUGCAUCCAGGCUCGGGCCCUGGGAAUCCAGGACUGUUUCUACGUUUUCUCCUCGGCCAUGCAGCUCCGUCCGCAGCUUUCUGUUCUACAGUGGAAAUAUGACUGUUCCAAUUUUCUGUCUGACAGCUUUGCUGUCCCGAGAGCUAAGGAAAGUUCAUCCACACAGCUGACAUUUGAGCUUCCAGAGGGUGUCACUUUUACUGCUGAGUGACUGAAGUGCCACACAGAACAAACGUUUCUAAGCUAAAAAGCCUGUAGUGGUGAGUCCUGGGUGUGGUGGUGCACGCCUUCAUUCCCAGAACGCAGAAGGGAGGCAGAGGCAGGCGGAUCUGAGCUCAGGCCAGUCUGGUCUGCGGGACCAAUGUUCCAGGACAGCCAGUACUACACAGAGAAACCCUGCCUCAGAAAAGAAACGAAAGGAAACAAAAAGGCCUGUAUUGUGCUCCUCAGGCACUGCUGACAGCCACCAGGCUCUGCUGAGUCAGCAGUUUGAGUGCCGCAUUCAUAUUGGAUACUUGUUAUCAGAUCCCAGGACACAGAUUCUUACAGUCUUGAGGUUGCAAAGGAGAUUGCCACCACACACACACACACACAGAGCGAUCCCUGUGGCUUUCCUUACCUUGUUGUCUAUCUCAAUCCCUACCCAGGAUUUUUUUUUUCCUUUUAAAAGAUUUUAUUUAGGCCAGCCUAGUCUACAAGAGCUAGUUCCAGGACAGGCUCUAAAACUACAGCAAAACCCUCUCUCAAAAAACAAACAAACAAAAGAUUUUAUUUUUUAUUUUUCGUUAUGUGUACCAGUGUUUCUGGGUGUGUGCAGUCUGUGAUGUCUGCAGAUUCCCCGAGCUGGAACCGCUGGUGAUUGUGAGCCUCCUGAUGUUGAGUGCUGGGAUUUAAACUGUGCUUUGCAAGAGCAGUGAGAACCCUUAGCCAUUGAGCUAUCUCUCAAGCCCCUCUUUGCAGAUUUUUAUUUCGUUUUUCCUAGACAGAGUUUCUCUAUGUAGUCCCAGCUGUCUUGAAACUUGCUUAUAGACCAGGCUGGCCUUGAACUCACAGAGAUUCCUCGACUUUUACCUCCUGAGUGCUGGGAUGAAAGGUGUGAGCUGCUACCACCAUGCGGCUCCUUGCAGAUUUUUAGGAAAAAUCUGCAGCUAUGUAGACCAGCUUUAAUGGCUUCUGUCCGAGGCUCGAUUUGAAACCUGAAGUUUUGUACACUUCUCAGUUACUGGAAUUACUGGGAGAUGAUGCCAACUGGCUCCCUGCUUUCUUUACUCUAUAUUUCCAAAACGUGUGUGCGUGCGUGCGUGCGUGCGUGUGUGUGCUGCAUCCCAUCGUGGAACAUGUGGAGAUCAGAAGACAAGUGGCAGAAGAGCUCUGUCCACCAGUGGGUAAGUCAGGAAUGGAACUGAAAGCCAGUGGUGGUGGCACACACCUUUAAUCCCAGCACUCGGGAAGCAAAGGCAGGUGGAUCUCUGAGUUCGAGGCCAGACUGGUCUACAAGAGCUAGUUCCAGGACAGGCUCCAAAAACUAACCCUGUCUCGAAAAACAAAACAAAGCCGGGCGGUGGUGGCGCAUGCCUUUAAUCCCAGCACUUGGGAGGCAGAGGCAGGCGGAUCUCUGUGAGUUCGAGACCAGCCUGGUCUACAGAGCUAGUUCCAGGACAGGCUCCAAAACCACAGAGAAACCCAGUCUAGAAAAACCAAAAAAAAAAAAAAAGAAAAAAAAAGAAAAAAGAAAAACAAAACAAAGAAUGGAACUGAAGUCACUCUACUUAGCAGCAAGUACCCUUAUGGCUCCUUACUCUCACUGUCCCCCACCCCUACCCCAAGACAGGUAAAGGGAUCGCGCAGUCAGUUUACAAAGGGAACCUUCCAGACUCCAUGCUAAGUUUGUUCCCAGAGCUGGUAUUUGAGAGUUGGUUGGAAUAAACCAUUUGGCCGUCUUGGAAUUGCCUUCCUCCAUCGUUGACCUAAGUGACUGACAAAACCUCCAACUUAAAAGUGCUUCAGUGAAAGAAGGGAAAAGGUCAGUGCGGUCUGUCACAGCUUAUUGCCCGCCAUUCUGAGCUCCAAACAUUUUCCAGAACAUCGCCAGUAUCUUGCUCCUCUCUGGUGUUUUUUCAGUCCUUGUCACAGAUCACUCCUUGCCCCCUGAAUCAGGCCCCGGGCCUCCCAGAUGCUUCUUAUUCUCUGGGCUUGUGCAUAUCAACACUUAGAUGUAGCUUAGUCUCCCCACAAACGGUUGCUGAGCACCUACUGCAUGGCACACAGAACCCCAAAGCCUGCAGUGUGCAGUAAAACUAAAAAUAAUUGCCCAAGGACUAUCAACAGUGAAUUAGGUACAAAUGCUGGAGAUAUAUCUAUUUAAUGUGCACAUGUGUUUGCUCGUGUGACUAAUACGCUCCAUGUACGUGGAGCGGCGGGCGUACAAACAGCUUCAGGGAGGCGGGGACACCCACGCUGCGCUGUUCGGUCCUUAAGUGACCAGGUGAAGAAGGGGUGGUCACGGUGUCAGUCACACGUGGCUUCAAGAUUUUGGGUCCCCAGGGCCAGAAUUCCUCGGCUUCCACCAGUCUCGUUCAUUCGCUCCCAGCGAUGCCGCCGACUUAGACACCAGUCACUCCACCUACAGGCGAAGCUCGUCCUCCGACCACGCGAACUAGACAAGUAUGUCCACCCUUCGGCCACCAGCCCCGCACCCCGCUCUUCAGGUGCCUCCGACCGUGGGCCCACCCCGCCAACCUCCGUUUCCGGUGGAGUGAUUCAGGACCCUGCGUGCCCGCCGCGCGGAGCCAGCGGGGAAGAAGCUCAGUGCGCGGCCGCCACGCCCCUCGAGAGGGGCGGGGCAUGCAAAUCAGACGCGGCGCGCGCGCGGGAAUGCCGGGAGCGCCGCGGUCGUGGAAUUCGUAGCUGAAGCUGUGGAUUUGAGAGGGCGAGUGAGGUGCCGGGGACGCGGACGCAGACCGGAAGCGGAAGGAAGCGCGGGGAAAACCGGGAGUCAGGGUCGCGGGCGGUCACCACGACGUUCGUGUGUCCCGCGGGCGCAGGGCAAGGGUGCGUGUUGGGUGCGCGGUAUCGCUUCUCGGCCUUUUGGCUAAGAUCAAGUGUAGUAUCUGUUCUUAUCAGUUUAAUAUCUGAUACGUCCUCUAUCCGAGGACAGUAUAUUAAAUGUAAUUUUGGAAGUAGGAGUUGGAAUAGGAGCUUGCUCCGUCCAUUCCACGCAUCGACCUGGUAUUGCAGUACCUCCGGGAACGGUGCACCCCUCGGGGAAUAAAGCCGGUUCAAUGAAAGGCAGUAAAAGUUUUUGUGUAUUGUGCUGUUGACUCUUGUUUUCUGUCUUUUUGUAGUGCUGGGUGCCAAGUACAGUAAGUCACUUAUUUUUAUUUUUCCCUUGUCCCAUCCUUUAAAAGUUUACGUGUUCCAUGUACGUGCAGGACCCAAGGGAAGGCAGAAAAAGAAUAUAGAGUUUUCUUGGACCUUAAAGAGGCUGAAGAAACCUAUCUCCUGGUCUUUUGAUUUGGACUGUUUUCCUUUAUUCUCUUUUGUUUUGGUUUUUAAUUGGACACAAAACAAGGUCUUUUGCUGAAAAGAGUUCGCUAUACUGGAUCUGCUUGCCAAGUCCCUCAGUUGUCUUAAAAAUCUCACAAGCGGGCAAGGACUUUUAAGGUGUUCUAACUUAACGGAAAAAAUGAGAAUCCACACAGAGCAGCUCUGAGCAAACGUGGACGGAAAGGAGCAGACAUGACGAAUGGACAGAAUGCCAAGGAUGACUGAAGGUUGUUACAAAUGUUUUCAAUCAAAAGAGACUUAAGGUGUUUUAUAUUAGUAAACUGACAACCUCAAGAAAGGUAAGUUUGGAGGCUGCAGGUGGAAAGAGGUGGCAGAACCCAGUUAGACCAAGGAGUGAGGACUUCCUGCCAUCCAGGGAUGCAACUAGGGUACUGCCAGCUGCAGCACUAGGAGGAUGUGACUGCCGUGGAAGUGUGCAGGCACGAGCUACCUUGCCUCGAGAGCUUCCAUCUCCAUACAAAUCACCUUUGUUACCAUACAACCGUAUAGUCUUUGGACUAUGGUUGCUGGUCAACAAAAAGUGCAGAAGAAAUACUGAAAGAAGAGUUUAAAAUUCAAGUUGAAGCUUCACAGCCAUGCCAGAUCCCAAGAGGUGGCUGGCUUGAUGUUCUGCAUUCUUAAAUGCAGUUUUAUGGUAUAGGAUAGAGUAGUAUGGCAGCUGUGGGAACCCAGCCCUCAGAUCUCCAGCUACUGAGAACGUAACUGCUGACCGUCAGACCUGCUGCUAAAACAUCAGGAUCGCUCACUAUUCCCCGCUGCUUCUUGCUUUGCUGAACCAUAUCAAGGCUGUUUUUCAGGUGUCUAUCACCGUUGAGAACUAGAGCUGACUUUAGGUGACUUUAGCCUCCCAUUAGCUUGGUCUGCCCUUCUUGAGAUUCUGCUCACUGGACCCACCUUCUUGCCUCGCCACCGCAACUGUCAAAACUUCCUAAAGGCCCAGAGGUGGUCAGAAAACCUUUUUUCAGGGAAAUCUGCAAGUUCAGCUGGUAUUUAUAAGACAUAAAACCAACCUGAGGGUAGAAUACACACAGAUUCCUGAAUAGUGGCCAACUGAUAAGCUGGUAAGUUGGCCCGGAAAUGAGAGCAGUCCAAAUUCCCUGCCCUCCACAUUAAUUCUUACCUGCCCACCCAAGACACCACCAUGGAACAUGCUGUAGGACAGUCACGUGACUCAGUUGAGUACAUCCUAGACCUGGAACAAUGGACAUUGAAGAAAUUAUAAGGUCUUGUGACGUACAAAACCUUCUCAAGAUGCUAAGGCACACAGGGACAAGACGGUAGUGCUUUCUUGACUUAGAGCUUGGCCGCCUUCUUCUUAAAAGAUUCCUUCAUUCUCUUGACCACAGAAAGGUCCCCAACUCCCUCAGGCCAGUUGUCAUGAUCUGGCCAUGUCAGCUUCUUUAUUCGUUAACCAACAAAAGCAGCAAAUACACAGAAGGACCUCCCACAUCAAGCCUGGUCUACAGAGCAAGUUCUAGGACAGGCUCCAUGGCUACUGAGAAACCUUGUCUCGAAAAACCAAAAACCAACCAACCAAACAUUGGGAAGACUAUUCAAAUGGCCUCUGCUUUUCCAGCUCUCCAGCUAUAGGAAGCCAGACUUUCUUGCUAUGAUUUUGCUAAAAAAAAAAAAAAAAAAAAAAAUCAGAUUUUGACAGACUGGACGAAAAUGCAAAGGUGAUGAUGGUCCAGCAUAUAUGAAGAUUAUGGUUCAGCACAUAUGAAGAUGAUGGUCCAGCACAUAUGAAGAACCACAUAUUAGAGAGUUUGUAAAUGUGUCAUGCGAAUGUAAAGAGAAUUGCUUUGUUUUGGAAAAGGUAGCUAUUUUAUUUAAAAUAUUAACAUGUA